CCUAACCCAGAAGUUUGCAGAACUCUUACCCUGAUGAUAGCAUCAAACAAGAUGCCAGCCUACAGGUGACAGGCUCUCAGGCUCUUGUUGAUGGUGCGCUGCUUGAACCAGCCAGAACUUUGCAGGACUCUUACCCUGAUGAUAGCAUCAAA